UACGAAGGGGGCUAGCGUUGCUCGGAAUUACUGGGCGUAAAGCGCACGUAGGCGGAUUGUUAAGUCGGGGGUGAAAUCCUGGAGCUCAACUCCAGAACUGCCUUCGAUACUGGCGAUCUCGAGUUCGGGAGAGGUGAGUGGAACUCCUAGUGUAGAGGUGGAAUUCGUAGAUAUUCGCAAGAACACCAGUGGCGAAGGCGGCUCACUGGCCCGGAACUGACGCUGAGGUGCGAAAGCGUGGGGAGCAAACAGG
rnacentral:rRNA from 1 species